GACUCUCGACAAUGGAUAUCUCAACUCUUGCAUUGAUAAGAACGCAUCAAAAUACAAUACUUGGUGUGAAUUGUAGAAUCCAAUGAAUCAUCAAAAUUUUGAACUCAUGUUAAUUACACCCAAAGCCAUUAUGCUAAGGGCAUGUUUGUCAAGACAUCA
rnacentral:rRNA from 1 species